GACUCUGAUGGUAAAGAAUCUGCCUGUAAUGCAGCAGACCUGGGUUCAAUCCCAGGUCG
rnacentral:tRNA from 1 species